CUCUCAGGGGUCUGGGAGCCCAAGAAAUAAGCGCGGGGGGCGCGGGGAGUUCACGGGUCUCCAGCCCGGUGGGUGGGCUAGCAGGGUGAAAAGGUCAGCGCCAGGCGGUGGAGAAGGCAGCCCGGCCCAGAGCAGAACAGAGACAGCGUGGGGCUGGGUGGUCGGGACUGGGGUCCUGGGGCUGUGCCGCCUGCGCCAGAUCCUGGCCCUGCUUCAGUCUCCCUGGUGACCUUGGGCAUGAACCGCACCUCCCCGUGCCUCGGUUUAUCGGUUUGCGAAGGGAAUGUGAUCAUGAUCAGAUUUACUAUGAGGAAGCGAGGAGAGGGGCCAUCCCAUCUGCCCUUCUGAAAGUUUAGAGUAUGUUGUUGGUACUCUGUUGACGCCAGCUUUAUGGAAAAGAAACCUGGGGCUCAGGAAGUUUUUUUUACUAACUGGCCCACCUGCCACAGCCAGCAGGUGGCAGUGGCAGAGCCGGAGUCUAGCCAAUUUCCCCAGCCAGUUCCAUAAAGUUCUGUCGGUUUUCCUCAUUCAGAGGACCCAGUUUACCUUUCCUUCCUCUGGGUAUGCCCCAACCCACCUCACGCUCUCUCCUGGUAAGCCCCAGAGGGCAGUGUGGGAAUCUGAGCCUCCCUGGGCCGUGCUGGUGCCCCCGACACGUUGGGACACUGACGAGGGGCUCAGAAAGUGCCGGCUUCACGGAUGAGUGGGGGGGUGGCUGUCUUCUAGGUCUGACAUCAGAGAUGAAGCUGGCUGUGCCCUGGGGACACAUCGCUGCCAAACUCUGGGGCUCCCAGCAGGGCCCCCCGGUUCUUUGCCUGCACGGCUGGCUGGACAAUGCCAACUCCUUUGACAGACUCAUCCCUCUUCUCCCAAAAGACUUCCAUUACGUUGCCAUGGAUUUCGGGGGACAUGGGCUCUCAUCGCAUUACAGCCCAGGUCUCCCGUAUUACCAGCAAAACUUUGUGAUUGAGGUCCAGAGAGUUGUAGCAGCUUUGAAAUGGAACCGUUUUUCCAUCAUGGGCCACAGUUUCGGUGGUAUUGUGGGCGGAAUGUAUUCCUGUACCUUCCCCAAGAUGGUGGAUAAACUUAUCUUGCUGGACACGUUUCCGUUUGCCCUGGACUAUAAAGAGCUGGCCCCUUUGUCUGCAGCCCGGAGUCCUGCCCACCCAGCAGAACCUGCAACCCCCCAGGAAUCGGAGAACUUGCUGACCUAUAAGCGAAGAAUGAUAGAGCACAUGUUACAGAUAGAGGCCUCCCAGAAGCCCCAGCGAGUGCUCAGCCCGGAGGAGAUGCUGCAGGGGUUCCUGAAGAACAACAGUCACGUGGGUGAGGAAUGCGCACGGCUCCUCCUGCAGAGAGGAACCACCCAGGUGGCCACAGGUCUGGUGCUGAGCAGAGACCGGAGGAUCUCUUUGCCAGAGCACAGCAUCGAUUUCAUCAGCAGGGACCUGUUUGUGCCUUUCAUCAGGAAGCUGCAGGCCCAUGUCCUGCUCAUCAAGAGUCUGCGAGGCAGGGGCCAGCGGGCCUGACAGUGGGACGCUCGCUCUACCAAAUUCUCCAGCCACACCAGACCCCUUACGGCCCCAGAUCCGGGCUGCUCACCUGCCUUCCUCCCCACUGCGGCGCCCGGCCGGAAGCAGUCCCACAGUGAACAUCCUUCUGUGUGGCUUGGAUGCCACUUUCCGCUCUGCUGCGGCCAGCCUAGACUGUGGCACGCCUGAGGCAGGAACCCCGACUUCUGGGGACACGUGUGUCUCUGGUGCUGAGCACGGGGGUUUAGGAAGCAAAUCCACACCACAGGGAAAUACGCCGCACGUCCUCACUAGGACGGUCAGACUAAAGAUAACCGGUGUCGGCGAGGAUGUGAGACACCAGAACCCUCGUGCUGGGGGGCUGUAACACGGAGCAGCCACUUGGAAAGAAGUCUGGCAAUUUCUCAAGCCAGUGUUACCACAGGACCCGGCAACCGCACUCCCUGGGCAUCUGUGUGCCCCACAUAGGACCACACGACAGCUCGCACGUGAUGGCUCGGAGCAGUGUUGUUCACAACGGCCCAGAGGUAGAGACGUCUGUCAGCCGGCGAGCAGAUGAGCCAAAGCAAUGCAAGGGUUUUAUAACGUGAGAAGAGAGAACGACGCUGACAAGGAGGCCCUAAAUUUGGCGACGGACAUACUGAAAUCUGUCCUAAAGGAGUGGUUCCAGUACACAGAAGUCCCGGGCAAUC